rnacentral:rRNA from 1 species
GACGAACGCUGGCGGCGUGCUUAACACAUGCAAGUCGAACGGUGAAGCGCCUUCCUUUUUGGUGGGUGUGGAUGAGUGGCAAACGGGUGAGUAACACGUGAGUAACCUGCCCCCUUCUUCUGGAUAACCGCAUGAAAGUGUGGCUAAUACGGGAUAUUCUGGGUCUGUCGCAUGAUGGGUCUGGGAAAGAUAUUGUUUCGGUGGGGGAUGGGCUCGCGGCCUAUCAGCUUGUUGGUGGGGUGAUGGCCUACCAAGGCGGUGACGGGUAGCCGGCCUGAGAGGGUGGACGGUCACACUGGGACUGAGACACGGCCCAGACUCCUACGGGAGGCAGCAGUGGGGAAUAUUGCACAAUGGGCGCAAGCCUGAUGCAGCGACGCCGCGUGAGGGAUGGAGGCCUGCGGGUUGUGAACCUCUUUCGCCAGUGAAGCAGGCCUGCCUCGUUUGUGGGUGGGUUGACGGUAGCUGGAGAAGAAGCGCCGGCUAACUACGUG